GAUCCUGGCUCAGGACGAACGCUGGCGGCGUGCUUAACACAUGCAAGUCGAACGAAGAGCGACGGAAGCUUGCUUCUAUCAAUCUUAGUGGCGAACGGGUGAGUAACGCGUAAUCAACCUGCCCUUCAGAGGGGGACAACAGUUGGAAACGACUGCUAAUACCGCAUACGAUCUAAUCUCGGCAUCGAGGAUAGAUGAAAGGUGGCCUCUACAUGUAAGCUAUCACUGAAGGG
rnacentral:rRNA from 1 species